rnacentral:rRNA from 1 species
UACGGAGGGUGCAAGCGUUAUCCGGACUCACUGGGUUUAAAGGGCGCGUAGGCGGUCAGCACAAGUCAGUCGUGAAAUCUCCGGGCUUAACUCGGAAAGGUCAACUGAUACUGUGCGACUAGAGUGCAGAAGGGGCAACUGGAAUUCUCGGUGUAGCGGUGAAAUGCGUAGAUAUCGAGAGGAACACCUGCGGCGAAGGCGGGUUGCUGGGCUGAUACUGACGCUGAGGCGCGAAAGCGUGGGGAGCAAACAGG